GACGAACGCUGGCGGCGUGCCUAAUACAUGCAAGUAGAACGCUGAAGGAGGAGCUUGCUUCUCUGGAUGAGUUGCGAACGGGUGAGUAACGCGUAGGUAACCUGCCUGGUAGCGGGGGAUAACUAUUGGAAACGAUAGCUAAUACCGCAUAACAGUAGAUAUCGCAUGAUAUCUACUUGAAAGGUGCAAUUGCAUCACUACCAGAUGGACCUGCGUUGUAUUAGCUAGUUGGUGAGGUAACGGCCCACCAAGGCGACGAUACAUAGCCGACCUGAGAGGGUGAUCGGCCACACUGGGACUGAGACACGGCCCAGACUCCUACGGGAGGCAGCAGUAGGGAAUCUUCGGCAAUGGACGGAAGUCUGACCGAGCAACGCCGCGUGAGUGAAGAAGGUUUUCGGAUCGUAAAGCUCUGUUGUAAGAGAAGAACGAGUGUGAGAGUGGAAAGUUCACACUGUGACGGUAUCUUACCAGAAAGGGACGGCUAACUACGUG
rnacentral:rRNA from 1 species